rnacentral:rRNA from 1 species
GACGAACGCUGGCGGCGUGCCUAAUACAUGCAAGUUGAGCGCUGAAGGUUGGUACUUGUACCGACUGGAUGAGCAGCGAACGGGUGAGUAACGCGUGGGGAAUCUGCCUUUGAGCGGGGGACAACAUUUGGAAACGAAUGCUAAUACCGCAUAACAACUUUAAACACAAGUUUUAAGUUUGAAAGAUGCAAUUGCAUCACUCAAAGAUGAUCCCGCGUUGUAUUAGCUAGUUGGUGAGGUAAAGGCUCACCAAGGCGAUGAUACAUAGCCGACCUGAGAGGGUGAUCGGCCACAUUGGGACUGAGACACGGCCCAAACUCCUACGGGAGGCAGCAGUAGGGAAUCUUCGGCAAUGGACGAAAGUCUGACCGAGCAGCGCCGCGUGAGUGAAGAAGGUUUUCGGAUCGUAAAACUCUGUUGGUAGAGAAGAACGUUGGUGAGAGUGGAAAGCUCAUCAAGUGACGGUAACUACCCAGAAAGGGACGGCUAACUACGUGCCAGCAGCCGCGGUAA